CUUCCUGCAGCUUUCAAUUCAGAGUUACAUUUUCAAUCAGCGACUCAAAUUCCUAUAAGGAGAGAGAGAGAGAAAGACGAUUGGAAAUUUACUGCUCUUUUUUCCAACCAUUUUACAAAUAAACAAAGCUUCCUAUUUGUUUUUCGCUCUUUCAGUGAGGACAAGAAGUAAAUCAUGGCAGAAGGUGGAAGUAGUGACAUAUGGAAGUAUAAAGUUAUUUUCAGUUCCAAGGCAGUACAAGGAUUCAAAGAGGUAAAAGAACUUCUGCAACAUUUACCGUCAAGUUUUGAGAUGUUUGUGACGUCAUAUGAACAGAGAAAGCUGGAUUCAUUGAGUAAAAAAGUGGGAUUCAGUGGAAUUGACAGAAGAGACCUGCGAGAAACUAUUGAUAAGUGGCAAGAGGAAUUCAGUAAAACAGUUGUCAUGUAGCCGCACAUAAAAAAGCUUUUCUUUUCGCUGCUCAGUGGUGUGAUCCAGAAAAUGAAGUCAAUAAGUACGGCAUCCCUGUGGCAUCUCCGUCAAAAUUAAAGGUUAUCCUCCAGAUAAUUGCAAACCAGAAGAAAUGGUUUUAUUCUGUAAAAUAUAUGGCUGGUGACACGGAGGUUAAAAUCUAUGGUCUCUUGUCAGCAAAUACAUUCAAGAAGUAUGUCCAGUCUGAAGAAGAGGAAGAGUUUAUAAAAGAGAUUACUGAUGUAUUAAAAGGCCGAAAAGAAGAGAACAACUUGAAGCAAGCAUUAAUGUGUCACUUACUUGCAGGUAAUCUAAGCAUUAAUGUGUCACUUACUUGCAGGUAAUCUAAGCAUUAAUGUGUCACUUACUUGCAGGUAAUCUAAGCACUAAUGUGUCACUUACUUGCAGGUAAUCUAAGCAUUAAUGUGUCACUUACUUGCAGGUAAUCUAAGCAUUAAUGUGUCACUUACUUGCAGGUAAUCUAAGCAUUAAUGUGUCACUUACUUGCAGGUAAUCUAAGCAUUAAUGUGUCACUUACUUGCAGGUAAUCUAAGCACUAAUGUGUCACUUACUUGCAGGUAAUCUAAGCAUUAAUGUGUCACUUACUUGCAGCCAUCCAACACACCCCAGAAUUUCGUGAAGUGCAAGACUGGGCAAUAGCUCCAUCAUCAAAAGAAAGACUAAGUGAUGUUCUGCUAGAUUUAAGAGAACAUUUAAGAUAUCUUAUGUAUGGAAGACUGCCAAAAAAUAUGUCUCCAUCAGAGAACAUGUUUGUACGCACCCGUUGUGUUAAACCCUCGAAAUGUUUAUCAUCUGUAGAGAGAAUGAAAGAAAAUUGUAUACAGAGAGACUUUCAAUCUAUUUCUAUUAAUGGUUGUUACAAUAAAAAGCUCUCCAACCGCGUGAUUUGUGUCUUGGAUGACAUGACUACUUAUGGUAAUAUCUUUGAGGCAUUAAGAAAUAUUCUAAUAACAUGCAAACCAAAAAAGAUAAUUUUCUUAGCUAUAGGAAAAUUCAGAAGAAAUGGAGUUAAGUACAAAAUGUUAAAUUAUACGAUACAAGGUAACGUCUUUACACAAGAAUAUGAAGCAGUUUUUAAUUCUGCUGAAAUUGUAGAGGAAGAAUAUGAACGGAGUGCUCAACGCGAAGUUCGAGAAUUGGCUAGCCUUGCUUAUGAGCUAAGCCACUAGAACGCAAGACUCGGCAGUAGACAGAAGAUAAAAGCCCACAUUUAUAUCAAAACUAAACAUACCUUCUUUAAUUAGCAUAAUAAUAAAACGGUUUUAUAAAUAAUUAAACUAACUAACUGAUCACAACGUAGUAUUUACCUACACCAGUGGUUCUCAAUGUGUGGUCCAUGGGCUCUGUUCAGGUGAAAUACUUAUAGAAAGGAAGCAGGGCAUGGAGAUAAAUAAAAACCAGGUCCGAGAACCUACACCAUUUCAACGUAAUCUGAAUCACGUUGUUAUUUUUUACCCCAUGUUGUAUGGAUUAAGAUGUAUAUUUUAUAUACGUACACACACAGUUAAUGAAAUGGUGGUACGAAUUUGAGAUAUCAACUCACUGAAGGAUAAAUAAGAAAACUUUAACACCAGUCUUAUUACUUUCAAUCUUCUCAACUAAUUAAGAUGAAGUUUUCUCUAUCUCAUGAUUUAUAAUUCCCGAUAGUUAAAUUUGUAUAACAUUACUGUAUUGAGAACAACAGAACUGAGUAUUGAAUGUUUUGUUAUUGAUUUUUCACCUUGACUCGAAAAGAAAAAUCAUUUACGCACAAAAUAUCAUGGUGAGAUUAGGUGAAUUCUUGUAUUUGUUUUAUUUAUUUAGUGUUAUAUGAUUUAUUGUUAAUUUGUAACGUAGAUUUUAAAAGAAACAAAAAAUCAAGGGACCAAGUAGAGUUUUAUAUUUCGUUUUCCAGACUUAAUUUUUUGUUAACCAGAUUUGGAAGACAAUAUGAGUAUAACCAGCAAUGGCAUUCUUCUUUUCUGUGUAGUAGGAAUUAGCAGAAGGAUCUUUGUAUGAUUUUAUUAAUUUUUCACUUUGAAAAUGUAAUCACAAUAAUCUUGAUUACAUUUAUGAAAUAAAGUAUUCAACUUCAAACUUUA